rnacentral:rRNA from 1 species
CCUACGGGUGGCAGCAGUGAGGAAUAUUGGUCAAUGGGCGGGAGCCUGAACCAGCCAAGUCGCGUGAAGGAAGAAGGUACUUAGUAUUGUAAACUUCUUUUGUCGGGGAACAAACGUGGAGACGCGUCUCCUGAUGAGUGUACCCGAAGAACAAGCAUCGGCUAACCCCGUGCCAGCAGCCGCGGGAAUACGGAGGAUGCGAGCGUUAUCCGGAUCUAUUGGGUUAAAAGGGUGCGCAGGGGGGAGAUCAAUUCAGCGGUAAAAUGUCGGGGCUCAACCUCGGCCGGCCGUUGAAACUGGUUUUCUAGAGUUGGAGAGAGGUAGGCGGAAUUCGUGGUGUAGCGGUGAAAUGCGUAGAGAUGUCGAAGAACUCCGAUUGCGAAGGCAUCAUACCGGGUCCAGACUGACGCUGAGGCACGAAAGCGUGGGGAGCGAACAGGAUUAGAUACCCGUGUAGUC